GGCAAAGGAAGAGCAUAGAAAUCAGAACCUGGGGGAGGGCGCUUAAAGCAGUGCCUACAAAACAGAAACACAAAAGUUGGCAUAGUUCUGCAGUCAUGUAAUGCCCAGUGAAUUGACGCGCAUGGAUCUGAUCUGCAGAGAGUUGUCUAUCUAUUUUGUUUGCUGGGUCCUCAGAAUGAUGUCACUACUGCUGCUUGAGGUCAUACCCCUUAUCCAUCCAUCCAUUUUCAACACCGCUUAUCCUGAAUGGGGUUGCGGAGGGUGCUGGAGGCUAACCCAGCUGACUACGGGCAAAAGGCAGACUACACCCUGAGCUGAUCGCCAGUUAGUCGCAACGCACAUAUAGUGACGAACAACCAUUCACACUCACAACCACAGAGGGAACCGAACCCCUUAUCCCAAAGGAGGACUUGUAGAACGCCUCUUCAUUUUUGAUGGGGGAAAAAAAACAAAAUCACUGGAACAUUAAGCACAAAGCUUUCUCACAAAGGCCGUCGUAGGGCUUCCAGAAAUCGCCCGUGGCUUCAAAAUGUGUAAUAUCCUGUCGUCUGCCUGGCUUUUAGACGCUUGGCUUUUAUCAAAUUGGCCGAACGGAAUGUUUGAAUGUGAGAGCUUGCGAUCAAGAAGAUGUCUUUCAUCUCACAUCUGGAACAUGUCAGAAUGAGACGUUCACAUUGCCCGCGGCAUCUCACAGAAUAAAAGAUGAUCUGUCCAAAGAUCCUCGGAUAUUCGGGUGGCGAGAUGCUGCUCAAUGGCACUCAGAGGGUGGAUGGGUACCACCACUACCAUCACCACCUCAAACUACAGGAACCUUUCAAACUGACUGAACGCUGCCCAAGAAACGUGACGAGCCUUGAACCUCACCUUGCUCUAGAACGGCAUUGGCCCCUUGUGGGAAAG